UACAGGGAAUUUGGCCAAUUUUUGUCGAAAAUUACAAAUACCAAACACUACCAAAUUUUAGGUUAAAAUUGUUGCCUGCUUUUGAGAGAAAAAAACUACUUUAAAAUUGUCACCCACUUUGAGGUGAAUUGUUCCUAUAAUUGUUCCUAUUGUUAUUUGUAGAUUCAUUUUUCAUCUUUGGAGUAUCAUUUGAGACUUAAACAUCAGCCAGUUGAUGGUAAGAGUGUGAUUGGAAGAACUUGUAGAGAAAAUUUCUUUGUCGAUCGCAUGAUAAAAUUGACUGGCAAGUGAGACAUGCUUUUGAAACACAGACCAGCUGGUACUGCGAAAGAGGAUUAAUCAAAGAAUUGAUCUUAUAGGUGAAAUUUCAGAAGAAGAUGAUAUGUCUAAAUUUAUAAAUGUGACUCAAGAAAAGUCAAAGAUAUACCAAGAUCAACAGAAGUAUCAGCAACAUCAGAUUCAGACUACUCCUCUGCCUGACUGGCUAAUGAUUACAUUCUCUAUGCAUGCAUGCCAAACCAUUAUGCAAUUUAAAUCUGCUUUAAUAAUAAAACAUUGUCUAUUAAUUUUGUUCAGUA